rnacentral:lncRNA from 1 species
AGAGAGAGAGAGAGAGAGUGAUGAGACUAAUCAUCUUCUCCAACCAAAACCCUCAAUCUGCGAUUCGAAUUCUGAUACCAAACCACAAGAAUAACGCCGAAGAUCAAGCAGGACAACAAUGGUGCUAACCCUGUGGUGGGUGCGUGACAAAAAAACAAGCAGUUUGACUCCUACGAAGUUUAGGAGAUAGUCCUAAGAUAUUCACUUUAAGAAUCAACCAUGGUGGUGUGUUUGUGAAUUCUCCUGUAAAAAGGUAUGUAUAUUUAACGAUCGAUCACAUAAAUAUGGUGGAUUCUGAUGUAUUUUCUGUUAUUGAGUUAAAUCACAUGAUUAUGGAAAUAGGUUAUCCCAAGGAACGGAUUAUGUUCCAUCACUUCUUAAUUCCUCAAACACAAAUUAGUGAUAGGUUAAGACCAUUAGGUAAUGAUCAAGAUGUGCUUUU